rnacentral:rRNA from 1 species
UCAACUUUAUUAGAAGAGGCGCAUUUAUUAGAUAAAAAGCCAAUGCAUGCUUUUACAGUAUGAAAAUUGGUGAUUUAUAAUAACUUAGCAAAUCGCAAAGUGAAAA